rnacentral:rRNA from 1 species
UUUAAAUAGCUGCAGUAUUUUAACUGUACAAAGGUAGCAUAGUAAUUAGUCUUUUAAUUGAGGUCUAGAAUGAAUGGUUUAACAAGAGAAAGCCUUUAUUUAAUCAAUUAUAUUGAAUUUUACCUUUUUGUUAAAAGGCCAAAAUUUUUAAAUGGGACGAUAAGACCCUAUAGAUCUUAAGAUUUUACAUGAACAAAAAUAUUUAAGAUAAUUCAGUUUUUUUUGUUACAAAUCUUUUGUUGGGGUGACAUAUAAAAUUUUAAAUCUUUAUAUUUUACAUUCAUAAAUUAAUGGAAAUAAAUUUGAUCCUGAAUUUUGGACUAAAAAAAUAAGAUACCUUAGGGAUAACAGCGUAAUAAAUUUGUAUAGUUCAUAUAGAUAAAUUUGUUUACGACCUCGAUGUUGAAUUAAUUAAAAUUUUUGGAGCAGAAAUUAAAAUUUUAGGUCUGUUCGACCUUUAAAAUAUUACA